UAGGGAAUCUUCCACAAUGGGCGAAAGCCUGAUGGAGCAACGCCGCGUGUGUGAUGAAGGGUUUCGACUCGUAAAACACUGUUGUAAGAGAAGAAUGACAUUGAGAGUAACUGUUCAAUGUGUGACGGUAUCUUACCAGAAAGGAACGGCUAAAUACGUGCCAG
rnacentral:rRNA from 1 species